rnacentral:tRNA from 1 species
AGAGAGGUGGAUGAGUGGUUUAAAUCGCAUGUUUAGAAAAUAUGAAUAGUUUUAUUUCUAUCAAGGGUUCGAAUCCCUUCCUCUCUU